GAGGGGUGAGGAGGGGUGAGGGGUGAGGGUGGUCACAGACAGAGGGGUGUGGCUCGAGUCACUCGGGGUCGUCGGCGGCGGCCUCGGCCUCGACGAGCUCUGAGCUGCGGCUACCGGCCCAAGCGGAGGAGCGCCGGCCGGAGGGAGCGCGAGACGCCGAAGGAGUAGAAGGAGUUGCAGAAGCGGAAGGAGGAGCGGCAGCCGCGGCUCGUCGCUGCGUCGUGGCCAUUCCACCACGGCCUGCUCAUGCUGCUCGCGAGGAUGACGGAGAUGCUGUGGCUGCGGAGGUGGCAGAUGCCGCAGACGCGGAAGAAGCACGAGGAGGAGCGCGUCGACGACCAGUGGCCGCAGUGGGCGACGGAGACGAAGCCGGGGCGCGAGAGGAGGGCGCCGACGCGGCAGCGGCGGAAGCGGCAGAGGACCGACUGCAAGGAGUAGCGCCUCCGGACGGAGCAGCCUCCUAGGCGCUUCUUACGCAUGGUGUGGUUCAUGGAACCCAUGAUGUGCUUCGUGCUGGACCAGUCGACACGGCGCGAGGCGUUCCCCCACAAACGCCGUCGACGGCGGUACUACGAGUAGUUGGAGCGUCGGAGGGACCACAUGAUGACCUCGAUGAGCUUCCGCCGCCUGCCGCCCAAGUAGUUCGUGGUCUUGCUCCGGCCGCACCCGUACUGGCUGAUGCCGGAGCUGUCCCCGCCAUCGGGACCCGAGACUCACUCACUCCGAAACACAACGAAACGAACAACACUUGACCCGACCCUCCAACGACAUCGAACACACACGGACAACACGAACGUGGACGUAGAUUACUAGGCUCGCUGCGUCUUUGCCAUAACAUUGACGUAGUAUACAAAUACCAUACCUAGCGGAACCCACUAUAGCAGAAGCCACAUGAACAGGUCCUUGUUUCGACGAGCUCGUUAGUGCCAUUUUCAUGUUGUAACGCCACAUUAUGACGUAAACGGUACGAC
rnacentral:rRNA from 1 species